rnacentral:rRNA from 1 species
CGGACCUCAGAUCAGGCAAGACCACCCGCUGAGUUUAAGCAUAUCACUAAGCGGAGGAGAAGAAACUAACAAGGAUUCCC